rnacentral:rRNA from 1 species
GACGAACGCUGGCGGCGUGCUUAACACAUGCAAGUCGAACGGAAAGGCCUGCUUUCCCUUGUGGAUUGCGGGUACUCGAGUGGCGAACGGGUGAGUAACACGUGAGUGAUCUGCCCCCAACUUGGGUAUAAGCCUGGGAAACUGGGUCUAAUUCCCGAUAGGCCUGCAGGGUGGUGCCUGUGGUGGAAAACGAUUUUCUAGUGGUUGGGGAUGAGCUCGCGGCCUAUCAGCUUGUUGGUGGGGUAAUGGCCUACCAAGGCGGCGACGGGUAGCCGGCCUGAGAGGGUGGACGGCCACAUUGGGACUGAGAUACGGCCCAGACUCCUACGGGAGGCAGCAGUGGGGAAUAUUGCACAAUGGGCGGAAGCCUGAUGCAGCGACGCCGCGUGGGGGAUGACGGCCUUCGGGUUGUAAACUCCUUUCGACCGCGAGGAAGCCACCUGGUUGGAAGGGUGGUGACGGUAGUGGUAGAAGAAGCACCGGCUAACUACGUG